AGAAGAUCUCAGUCUAUAUACCUACAGGUCCUUGCUGACAAACAUGCGCCAGAACCAUACAGGUAAGCCUUGGAAUCUAACAAGUGUGUAAGUCUUAAGGGUUACUCCAACCCUUUUUAAUGUUUUUUUUUUUUUUUUAUUAAAACUACCCUAUUGGGCAUUAGUCUUUAAGAUCCCCCUCCUAUAUAAAAUAUGUUUAGCUUACCCUUAUCCAGUGCUGGGUGAAACUGCUGGUGCUGCUUUAAAUGCUCCAUCCUGACAUCAUGGUAGCUGACGUGUGGCCUAAGCAAAGUCUUCCCAUAGAGACGCUUUUAAUUGCUUGACCAAUCCUCACCUCCUCUGUGCAUUUCCAUUCUAUAGCUUUAUUGUAGGCUUUUUUUUGACCCUAUCAUCUCUGUCUUCCACAGUCUGCGUUAAAAAUUUCCCUGCUUGAAACUAGAACAGACCUCAGCAUAUCAAUCAUCCCUGUCAUCCUAGGCCAGGGGUAGGCAACCUAUGGCAGUAGUGCUUUGCACGGCACUCAAGGCUGCUAGAGCCAAACAGGAUCUGGCCUAUCAGGAGUCCCAGUAAAACUUCAGAUAUCUGCUAAUACGAAGAGGUGGUGAAGGACAAUCCUCAAUUUAUGCAUUGCAGCACGUAGAGAAAGUGAUCUCAGAUCACUUCCUCCCAGUACUUGUGAAUGGGAAUCCACAUUGUAGUAAAGCAGCCUGCAGCUGCUGUUGCAGCUCCUGUCCUUGACCUGUACCUGGCCAGCCUGGUCCCCACUGGAGCCCAGGGAAGCCACCCACACUGCUAGAUAUACACAGAAAUGCAAAAUAACCCUCUCCUCAUACAAAUAAUACAAACAGCCCACAAACAAACAUACACACAAUCCGCACAAACGUAACCCGCUAACAAUGCACAAACAUGCACACAACCCCUCACAUGCAGCCUCUCACAUGCAAUACCCCAAACAGCCCCUCACAUACGCACACUACCAAACACACAAUGUGACAUUUCCAUUCACACACACAAUUCCACAAGCAGCCCUCAUACACAGCCCACAUUCAUAGGUAUCAUACACGAUACCAUAACUACUAAUGAACAUAUACAAGAUAAUAGCUCAUAUACGCACAAAUACAACAAUACAAAAGCAAUUACAGUAAAAAUAACACAAGCAGAAGACGGCAACAUACACACCUCAAUUUAAAAAAAUAGGACCAACACGGGACAUCACAAUCUUAUAUCGGCACAGUGCUACUAAAAGGUUGCCUACCCCUGUCCUAGGCUAUUCAUUAAAAAUUUUCUUCCUAGCUAUCCCACUUAAUCUACUCUAACACUCCUUCCCUUAUACUUGGGAACUUUAACAUCCCAAUCAGGGCCGGCCUUUGGGGUGUGCGAGCUGUCCGGCAGCACAGGGCGCUGUGGCAACAGGGGCGCCGGGCAGCCAGCGCAGCUCGCACAUGCUUGAACAUUAGGGCUUCUUAAUCCUUCCCUUACUCCCUCUGUGGCACUCACGAGGGUGACAUGGAGGAGAGCCGUGGGGAGGUAGCGAGGCUGAAGCAGCACACAGAUCAACGACAUUCCUUGAUUCAGUAAACUCCCAGCUCCUGAUAAGAGGCAUGCAGUUUAAAAGGAGCUGUGAGUGGCUGCAGAGCUAAGGAGGCAGAGCCAGUAAGGGAGCAGGCACUCACUCUCCAAUCUGACAGCCCCCUGUGCCUAUACAUCCAGUAAGCAUGUACCUCCAGCCCUACCCCCCCUCCCCCCUCCUGUUCUUGGUUGCCAGUUACUUGCCGGCAUUUUACAGCAUUGGCCUCUUUCAUGGCCUUUGUGCUGCCUAUAAACUCCCCUCGGAGGAGUGUAAGCACCUCACAGCCUUCCUUCCCCUGCUGCUGUGUGACACCCUGCAGAUCAGCUAAUCCUGUCUAGGAUCAUGGCUGAGGAUGGAGCUAUUGGCUGCUGCAUGUCAGUACUCCAUGACCUGAUAUACCUAUUAACUGUCUGUUAGUGCCCCAUCUCUGUCAGUGCUGCCAGGCUCCAACCAUUACAAUCCUGUAGGAUCUGCCAAACUAAUGUCUCUGUUAACCACACAGUGGAAAUAUGCCUUUGUAAACUGUUGUAUGCCAGUGUCUGUGUGUGUCAUAACUCUCAGUGUCUGUGUGACAGUGUUUAUGCCAGGGUCUGUGCCAGUGUGUGUUUCAGUGCUUGUGACAGUGAAUGCCUGUGGCAGUGAGUUCUUGUGUCAAUAUGUGUUAGUGAGUAUUUGUGCCAGUGUAUGUGUGUGAGUGCUUGUGUCAGUGAGUGCCUGUGGCAUUGAGUGUGUGUGUGUGUGUAAGUGAGUGCUUGCUCAGUGUGUGUGUGUGGGUUUCUGUGAGUUCUUGUGUCAAUGUGUGUUAGUGAAUGAUUGUGCCAGUGUGUGGCAGUGAGUGCUUGUGGCACCAUGAAGAUUUUUCGCACAGGGCGUCUACAGACCUAAGGCCAGCCCUGAUCCCAAUCAACAGCCUCAACUGUCCUGAUGCCUUCCGUCUGCUCUCUGUAACCUCUUCCUUUUGCUUCACACAGUGGUCUUCUUCAGCAACUCAUACAGCAGGAAACACUCUUGACAUCAUCUUCACCAAUCUCUAUAGUAUUUCUUUUGUCUGACCACCAUCUGCCGACCUUUGACACUGGCAUACUCCGUACCCAAAUUUCACCACCUUCAACUCAUAAUCUCCAAAAACCUCCACUGUCUUGACCUCUAGCAAUUCUCCACCAAACUCUCCUUUUACCCCUCUCAAAUCUUACUUGCCCUAACUCUGCAACCUCACUCUACAACUCCACUCUCUCCUCUCAACUAGACACCAUGGCACCUCAUACAUUUAAACGUAGCAAGUGCUCCCAAUUACAACCCUGGCACACCAAUCUGACCUGAUACGUCUAAAAAAUUUUCAGAACUGCUAAACGCUGCUGGAGAAAGUCUCAAUUUUAUAAUAAGGGAAGAGAUCUCUAAUCUCUCUCCCUCCCUUACCAAUACUUCCCCCAACCCCACUCCCUCCGCUGUUCUAUGCUCAUUCGCACCCGCUACAGCAGAAGAUGUUUUUGCUCUUCUCCAGUCCUUCCACCCGACCACCUGUUCAAUCGAUCCUAUUCCCUCAUAUCUCAUCCGCACUCUGUCUCCUUCUCUUGCUCUCCCUCUCAUUAAAAUUUUCAAUAUCUCCCUUUCCUCUGGCACAUUUCCUUCAACCUUCAAACACGCAGCUGUACCCCGAUUCUGAAAAAACAAACAACCUUGACCACAACUUCCCAUCCAACUACAGCCCUAUCUCGCUACUUCCAUUUGCCUCCAAGAACCUUAAGAGAGUUGUGCAUGCAAGAUUGACAGACUUCCUCGAAUCCAAAUCUCUGCUUGAUCCAAUUCAGUUUGGUUUCCGCAAUCCUCACUCUGUCGAAACGGCUGUGACCAAAGUAUCCAACGAUUUAAUUGCUGCUAAAUCUCGGGGCCACUACUCUAUCCUAAUUCUCCUUGAUCUUUCUGUUGCCUUUGACACGGUUGAUGAUCAACAGCUUCUUCUCAUUCUCCCUAAUCUAGGUGUUAUGGAUACUGCUCUAUCCUGUAGCUCCUCCUAUUUCUCCCAGCACUCUUCCAGUGUUUCUUUUUAUGGCUCUGCCUCUUCUCUCCAACCUCUCUGUUGAUGUUCCCCACGGUUCUGUCCUUGGUCUCCGACUGUUCUCUAUCUACGCUGCCUCCGUUGGUAAACUCAUAAGCUCCUUUGGCUUUCAUUAUCAUUUAUAUGUUAAUGACACGCAAAUCUACAUGUCCUCUCCUGAUCUCGCUCCACCCAUCUUUACUCGUGUCUCUGACUGCCUCAAUGCGAUUUCCAACUAGAUGGCUGCUCGCUUCCUUAAACUCAAGCUGUCCAAAACAGAACUUCUUGUCUUUUCCCCCUCGUUUUGCUACUCCCAUGUCUGUCUACCUCCAAGUUAACGGUACUACCAUCACCACUACCUCGCAGGCUCCCUGCCUAGGUGUUCUCUUUGUUUCGACCUUUCCUUCACCCCUCAUGUCCAGUCAGUCACCAAACCCUGCUGCUUCAAUCUCAAAAACUAAAUAGUGCGCAUCCACGCUAUUUAACGCUGGACAUUGCUAUGGUGCUGGUCCAUGCCUUUGUUCUCUCUCGCCUUGAUUACUGCAAUCCCCUUCUCAGUGGUCUUACAUGUUCCUAGCUUGCCCUGCUGCAAUCUAUAAUAAAUGCAGAAGCAAGGCUCAUCUUCCUGUCUGCCUGCACCUCCCAAGCCUCCUCUGUGUAAGUCCCUACAUUGGCUUCCAGUUAGAUAUAGGGCUCAAUUUAAGAUUCUGGUGCUUGCUUACAAGUCCCUACAUAAUGCUGCUCCAACCUACCUAUCCUCCCUAAUACACAAGUAUGUCCUAUCUAGGCCCCGGCGCUCUGCUGAAGACCUACGUCUAUCCUCUGUCUGUACUCCCACCUCUGAUGCUCGCCCUAAAUACUUCUACAGGGCUUCACCUUUUCUGUGGAUCUCCCUUCCCUUCUCCGUUAGACUUUCACCCAGUCUCUAUUCCUACAAAAAAAAAAAAUCAGGAAAGCGUAUCAAUUAAACUGUUAACAGGUUUUUAUUCCCAUGCCCUGUCACCUCUUCUGCAACUGUCACAAAUUUCCCACUAAGCCCUCAGUGAAUACUUUUCUAGCAACCUACUUUGUUACCCCUACUUUUACCCUUCGUGUCACUAUACCCCACUCACUCUAGCAAGCAAGCUCAUUGAGCAGGGCCCCCAACCCCUCUGUUCCUGUCCAACUUAUCUGGUUAUAAUUACGUGUCUGUUAGUCCACCCAUUGUACAGCUCUAUGGAAUUUUCUGGCGCUAUAUAAAUAAUAAAAUAAUAAUAAUAACUUGACCAUUUAGCCGGCUGCACAUGCUCUGAGCCACCAGGAGGAGAAAAUAGGUAGGGCAAUGUGUAGGGAGGAGAAUUAAAAAAAAUAAACUACACGGAUAGGAUAUGCUGGUGGGAGGUGUGCAGAUAAAAAGGGAGGGGACACCUCAGACUAAAUCUACUGCUUCUCAUAUUUACCAGUAUUCCUCAGAUCACAGGUAUCAAGAUGACUUCAGAGAUCUCAGUGCUUUUUAAGCAUUAAAAGACAACUUCUCACACAUGAAGCUCAUCAGCUCAGGAUAUGCUCUUUUUAAUAAGUCUAUUUGAAAUAUGCACUUUAAUAAAUAAUUACAGAAACAGCUCCCUGUGAAUCAUACAGCCAGGGUUCUAGCGAGGAUAACUUUCUGAUUCUGGUAAAACCACAGAGCUAACCGAGGUGGCAUGUAUGCUCUGCUACAGUGACCUGCCAAGUGUCAAUGUGUCUGUGAGUGAGUGUACGUCCACAGUGGUCAUAGGCAUCAAAUAAUGACUUUAUUUUCCUUGUGGUCCAGUAAUCGUUGCUGACUGCAAAGACAGUCGAGACAAUCACCAUUGGGGAGUCAUGCACUGUUACACACGGCUCUCAGACUGUGCACAUUGAUGCAUCGACCCUUGCUGGGCUAGGAAGUAUAUGAAUUGAAUAGCUGCACAUACGCUUACAGCUCUUAAAUCAGAGGGUUUGCAAUGAGAAAAAAGGGGUGGGACUUGCAAAAGACAUAGACAAAAAAUCUGUAGGUUUUCCCCCCAAUGAAACUGUAGAAAUGAAUGCAUGCAUAUGUUUAUGUUGGACCACACUAGCAGCCGUGACAUAUAUGUUAUGAUUGUGUAAUAUGGUACACCAUAAUUGUGUGCAAUAUGUCAUCAUUCAUACAUUUGGAAUUUGGAAUUCUUAUCUUAUUUUGUAAUCAUUAUUGUUCAUUUUAAUAUGCCAACUCAUGCAGAGAUGUGUGUGCUUUUUGCCAUUGUUUGCUAUUUUUACAUUGAUUUUUAACCAGUAUUAUGUUAACAAAUGUAGCUGACCAAUGAAGGGUUAAUUACCCUAUGUACUAAUUAGACUGGGAGGUUUAUAAAUCGAAGAAAGUCGAAGUGAUUCUAUCCUCUGAUGAAGUGAUCAGCUGAUCACGAAACGCGUAAGGCAGGCAUCCUACACAAAGCUUUCAGGAGACAGCCAAAUGGAACACAUCCCAAGCCGCAGUGGAAUGCACACAGCGAGUAUCCAGUGUCUAACACCUCGCAGAGAUCCAUACCUCCCUUGAUCCGGCCGGCAGGAGGGAGCUACGAGGAUCUUCUGGUCUGUAGGAUAUCAACCUGGUACCUUAUGCCACUACUUUGGACGCUUCUAUGAGUGCAAGUUUUAUUUAUUUAUCUUUGAGAGUGUUUAUCUUUUUCUUAAUACAUUUUUCAAUAGAGAGCACCCUGUCUAUGUAUUAUAUACCACAUCGUGCAACAUGGACUUGACAAACACUCUGUGGUCAAUAUUGAUACAUAUCCUGACAGAGAUUGUAUCAUUCCAAGAUUAAUGUAUCUUUUUUUGUUUUACAUUAUUAGGUACUAGACCGAUACUAUAUUAUUUUCAGCUUUACCAGAAUUUCUUCCUACUUAUACCAUAUUAGGCAAUCAGUCUGGAAUUCAUUUAGCUGCUACAAUUAUAUCAAUUGACGAUUUUUAUCUUUUUAUUUAUCUAGUACUUAUUUAUAUUUCAUUUAUUAUUCACUUAUACUGUUUAGGGUAUAUCCAUUUGGAUCCAAACUUGUGUAACAAGCAUUUCGUUUUUCAUAUUCUCUGUGUAACACUGUUUAGUAGAUCUCAGUCAACCCAAGUUUAUGUAUAUUUUUUAUAUUUUUAUAAGCUUAUUGUGCAAGUCUAUUCCCUCAUUCCUAUUUUUCCACUUCAUUCCUGAUCACACUAUUGAUUUUCUUCAGUAGAAACCUCUAUUUAUAGUUCUCUAUCUAUAGCUUAAGGUGGUAGCUAUUCUCUUUUCAGUGAGAUAGUGGUUAUAGUUGUCCAGUUCAGGUUUCGUCACUUAAACUCUAGUGGGACAUCAUACCAGUCUUUUGGGCGUGUUUUCCCGUCUAUAAGUUUGUAUCUUUUUUCAUAGUCAUUAUUAUAGUUAUUGCAUUUUAAUUAUAAUAUUUUCAUGUUUAUAAAUAUAUUUAGUUCAUUUUAACUUAAUUUGAUUUAUUAACUUUAUUUGCUUUAGUUAUAUGCUCUAUUGUAUAUCCUUUUAUAAUGUAUUUCCCUCUGACCUCUCUGGCCCCAAGAUUACCACCAAUUGGGGCUCGGGGACGUCUUUGAGGAUCUUUUCCCCUAUCCUAUUACAAUUGCUAUUUGUUCACUAUUGUGAGUACUUUAAUUCCCUUACCCUGUUUAUUUAUUUUUUACUUGUGGGUUACUCAACCCUUUCCUUUAGGUAUUAUUUUACUUUAUUCAUUCCCUUAGGCUUGUCUGUAUAUGUAUGAUGCAGUCUGAUAGGAUCUUUCUGUGCCUGUGGGACUACAGCACACAUGCAGAUUAAUUUAGAAGCAUCUCCAGGUAUCUCUGGAGAUGAGGCUUAUUUUUUCUGCAGAUUUUACUGCUCCUGCUGAUAUGCAGGCUUUAAGUGACACUUCCAUGUCAAAAGCAAUGACGAAGGCCCUGGUGUCAGUGAUGGGGGUUAUGUCUUAAUCACUUUCACAGAUAGUUGCCCAGGCCAUGUUACAGGCACAGAGAUCGGCCCAGCCAACCACUCAGAUGGCAGUACCUGUACUCACACCUGCUCUGCUCCAGCCUGGCCGCAAGGCCUUGUAUAAGGCUAAACACUCUUUCAAAACAAUAGAGAUGGACAGUACCAUACCUGUCACGGAUGAUGCAAUUAAUAGAUCUAUAUGGAGGAUUCAGUGGAUGUUUCUGAUCCUGAUUAUGAAAUUAUUUAUGGAGAGAAUGCUAAUCCCGCGCGGGAUAUACUUCCUAUUACACCUACCAAGAUUGAGGUAGAUCAUACGGCCUCAGGGGAAACUGAUAGGAUCUUGGACCCUCAAGUUGAACCCCUAUUCGAACCUGACGACCUGUGUCACCCAGUGGUCACCUCAGAUCACGUAGCCAAGUAUAUUGCAUCAAGAGUAGGCAAGCCUUUUAAGAAGGCAAAGUGAAAUAAAAUGCGGGCUGAAUGCCCACGCCGAACUGUCCCUGAUGACGCAUGUGAAACACUAUCAGUCGAUGCUAAGAUCAUUGAAUUCCUGAGUAAGACAGGAUGGAAACCUACCAAAGGCUUAGAUCUUUCAUUGCAAAACUGUCAGGAUAAAAUCCUGGACAUCUUGGGCCUUGCAGCCAAGAUCUUUGAAGCAGUAAAAGAUGGUCUAGAAUUAGAUUGCACCACCGUAAGUGGUUGGAUCCAGACAGUGAUCUGUUAAGUUGGCCGCAACAGAAUGCCGCAAAUCGAUCUUGCUCAAGAUUUAGCCCAAAUGUUUAAUUAUGGCUCUGAACGAGACAGACACACAGGCAAAAGGUUUUCUCUUUGGGGACAACUUUGUAAAAGAAUUGGGCUCCUUUGUCCACACAUUGACUGCUCUAGAUAAAGCGCAAUCCAAGAUGCGCAAGCUAUUUAACCCUAGAGUUUUUGCUGGGGCCCGAAAAGCCAGGAGUUGUCUGUCCGGCUGAAUAAACAGUAGUUCUUUUAGACAGAACCAAGGCUCUUAUACUGGCCGAGCCAGUUUCUUUGAACAAUGCACUAUACCAACCCAUGUGGUCGACCCUGGGUUGUUAGUGGCCCAAGAGGUGCUGCUUCAGGAUGAAGACCUUAUGGUAAGUCUUCACAAUCUCCAUUCUUCCAUACUGAUAGUGGGGGGCAGGCUCACACAUUUUUCCCAUGUAUGGUCCCUCAUUUCAUCACAUGCUUAGGUUCUUCACACUGUGAUAGGGUAUGGCAUAGAAGUCCUUUCUCUACCUGUUAAAUGUUCCCUAUCAAGGGAAAUAGUAUUUUCCCACUAAGACGCAGACCUUGUCUCAGAGUAAAUAAAAGAACUGAGGCGCAAACAAGCCAUCGUAGAGAUUCCGGCCCAUACCCUGGGUUACGUGAGCAACCUUUUCUUGGUUCCCAAAAAAGCAAAGGUGUCCGUCCAUUGAUAGAUUUGAAACAGCUCAACGGUUAUGAGGCACUUUCAAGAUGGAACGAGUGCAUUGCUUAACCCGUUAAGUACCAAACAUCUGGAAUAAAAGGGAAUCAUGACAUGUCACACAUGUCAUGUGUCCUUAAGGGGUAUGGGAUCUUCUCCAACCAGCAGAUUGUAUAACCAAAUUGGAUCUGCAGGAUGCAUACCUCCCAGUGCCUGUCGCAGUCCAACAUCAAGAUCAAGAACUUCCUGCAAUUCACAUAGCAGGGCAGGAAAGGGAGGUUCUGGGGCCUCCCAGUUGGACUGUCUUCGGCUCCAUGGUGCUUCACCAAGCUCAUGAAAUCUAUGGUCGCCCUGCUACAGAGUCGGGGAGUACAUCUUAUAAUAUAUUUAGACGGCAUUUUCAUUCUGGCUUAGUCUAUUCAAUUAAUCUGGACCUACCUAGCAUGGACUUUGACUCAGUUAGAGAACCCAGGCUUCCUGAUCAAUUGGGAGAAAACCAUUAUUGUUCCCACGCAACAAAUCAAAUCUCUGGGUUAUAUUGGGCUAUUGUAGAUUCUACCCUUCAAACUCUACACUUUCCGGUGGCAAAAUUAAAAAACACUAGCAACCUCUCAACUCUCUCUCAAACAACUGUCGAGAAUGAUAGGCCUAGUAGCGGCAUUUAUGCACGCCAUUUUCCAGGUCCUCUUGGCUAUCGAGCCCUACAAUGAUUACAAGCUUCAUCUCAAGGGCAGCGCAUCAUACACAGAUAUGGUAACUCUGGACUCAGAAGUGAAGGAUGAACUCCAGUGGUGGCUUCUUCACAUGGAAGCUUGGAAUGAACACCCCAUAUUCUAUACAGCUCCAGAUUUGAUAAUCAAAUCCAACACAAGUUUGCACAGUUGGGGCGUUAAAUGCGGAAAAAUAUUUCCACCAGGGGCAGAUGAUCAGAUCUGGAAUCGACACUCCACAUUAAUUAUUUGGAACUUCUGUCUGGUUCCUUUGCAGUCCACAGUUUCUCCCCAACACAAGCCCAAUGCGCUAUCCUUCUGAAGAUGGACCGUGUGUCAGUUGUCCGCUACAUCAAUCACCUGAAAGCACAAAAUACAAAAUUCUGAACUACAUGGCUCGCCAGUGGCUGCUCGCUGUCAUUUAAAACUGUAUAUAAAUGUAUCCUAUAUAGAAGUGUUAGAGCUACGGUAAGAGUACGUGUAAAAAGUAGCUGUUUAGAUCUAAAUAGCUACUUUUUCAUACUGCAACAUUGUUAUAGUUUUUACUAAAACAUUUGGUUGCAUGUACUCUUAUCUAAUUUCACCGGUGCACAUGUCUAUCUGAUAGAUCUCUCCUUUUCCCUGUUGCAUGCUUAUGGGAGUAUGAACUUCGUCCCACUACGUGACGGAAUCCUUUAAAACAGGAACUCUUCAUCUACUUCCAAAAGUCGCGUCUUCCGGUGUCUACCUCUACCCUAGCCCAGUGGCUCAAAUACGUUAUGUCUCUAGCAGGUAUUGAUGCCUAUGUGUUUGCGCCUCAUUAGGUUCGUGGGGCAAUGGCUUCUAAGACUUCCUCGAUUGGUUGUCGCUUGGUGGAUAUUAUGAGAGUGGCUGGUCUUCAGAGUCGACAUUCCAUGAUUUCUACUUUAAACCUAUUCAGCACUUCACAGGAAAGAUAAUUUCACAGCUUUAAACUAGCAUAAUAGGAGCCUCCGUGUCUUUAUAAAAUUUACCGAUUUUACUAUUAACAUGACGUAAUUUCAUGAUUUUAUUAAUGACAUGGAGGCGGGUAUUAUCCCUUUCUCCCAUCCCUGGAGGUUUCUUCUUCUCUAGGUAAGUUGACUUCACCCUAAGUCUUUGUUGAUUACUGGGUUUUAUCCUUGUUAAUGACCAACAAGAGCUUAUGGUUUGACUAAACUGAAUUUCAUGUUAUAAAUAUCUCAUAUUCCAUAUAAUGCAAUUUUAUGCAUAAAUCUAGUUUUAUACUUGGAUAUUACCAUAUUCUCCUCUCUCUUCCAAUUUGACUUCGAAGUCCAGGUUGAGGCUCGCAUACCCUCUUAGUGGAGCUCCCCUUUUCAUUUAGAUUUUUUGUCCUUGUUCGGGAUCGCAAGAAAGAGGAAGUAGUAUACUGGACACCACCUAUUAUGCUAUGAAGAGGAUGCUGAUUGGCUGUUCCUGUUGCUAGGAAGAUAUACCUCUCAUGUUAUUUAGUAGGGUUUUUUUAUACUGAUUUAAUGUUAUUUUCCUUUGCUGCUGAGGGAAAUAAAGAAAGAAUGCAGCAUAAUACUCGCCUCCGUGUCUUUAAUAAAAUCAUGACUUUACAUCAUGUUAAUAGUAAAAUCUGUGAAUUGUAGUUGACUAUUUGAAAAAUGCAGACAGUAAAACUGCAACUCUACUGGUUCUUUUAUGUGAGAGAUUAGUUUUAUUAUUUGGUUACAUUGUUCUCUAAUGUCAUUGUUUUACACUGUAUCAACAAUAUAUUCAAAACCAAAUUAUUUUUCUUUUCUCAGGGUCAUAGGCAGUGUCUCUCAGUUUGAAGAGUUUGGAAGAGUGUUCCACUGUCCCAGAAACUCCCCGAUGAACCCAUCUCACAAGUGCUUUGUGUGGUGACCCUCUGAUUAAUAGCAAGUUGCGUCCAGGUUCUCCCCAUCUACACCCAAACAUCAUGGGCAGCAAGAGAGGAAAGACUGAGUAUAGACUACACAACAACAGGCUGUACUAAUAGGCCAUGCAAACUCAUACAUUCCAUUACUGUUCCCUUUUAGUCUGAAAAACCUCACUUACUGGACCAUAUCCUAAGCAGACAAUGGGUUUCUGAGGCUUUUCCACGUACAUAGGAAUGCACUUUACCCCUUAAUCAGAAUAUAGAACAGGCAGAAGGUCUUAAUUUGAGAAUCAUCCUGUAGACUAUUCAUAACCUGAUUUGAACUGAUUAUGUGUUAAUUUGCAUAUUGACUCAUCCUUUUGGUUAUCAUCACCAACUGACAUCAAUGUAAUGCUGGUAUAUAAAGUGAUGUGCAGGAUACUGUGAAAUAUUUGAAAGACUCGUAGGAUGUGAUUAAUGGUGUAUGGGAGUUAAAGAUUAUUAUCUAGGUUUAGCAUCAUUGCUAUCAACAAAAUAACAGCACAUAUCAAUGCAACAUUACUUAUAAUGCUUUGCAGAGCUAAAUAACCCUUAUGGUCAUCUCUGUGUCAGACGUACAGCUGCAUGCGUUGUCUGCAGUAUUUGUAGGCGAGGUACAGGAAGAGCAGUGUUUACAUUGGCAUUCCAAAUAUCAACCUUUCAAAUAGUUCAGUAGAAGAUGUAUUGGGGCAUUUGUAAUGAGAGCUUGGCUUGCACAGUUUAAUGACGCUGGGCUAUUUAUUGGAGCACAUUACUUAAAAUAUCAGAAUCUAUACAAUAUAUCUUGAUAUUUG